rnacentral:rRNA from 2 species
GGACUACCAGGGUAUCUAAUCCUGUUUGAUCCCCACACUUUCGUGCCUCAGCGUCAGUUACUCCUUAGUAAGCUGCCUUCGCUAUCGGUGUUCUGGACGAUCUCUAAGCAUUUCACCGCUACACCGUCCAUUCCGCCUACCUCAUCAGUACUCAAGUUCCCCAGUAUCAACAGCACCUCGACAGUUGAGCUGCCGUAUUUCACUGCUGACUUAGAAAACCGCCUACGCACCCUUUAAACCCAAUAAAUCCGGACAACGCUUGCCACCUACGUAUUACCGCGGCUGCUGGCAC